rfam:Ailuropoda melanoleuca scaffold1891_4, whole genome shotgun sequence.
GUCUAUGGCCAUACCACCCUGAACGUGCCCGAUCUCAUCUGAUCUCGGAAGCUAAGCAGGGUCGGGCCUGGUUAGUACUUGGGUGGGAGACCAAGUAAUGCAGGUGAUCUUUUUG